AACUUAAAGGAAUUGGCGGGGGAGCACUACAACGGGUGGAGCCUGCGGUUUAAUUGGAUUCAACGCCGGAAACCUCACCGGGACCGACAGCGAUAUGAAGGCCAGGCUGAAGACCUUGCCGGAUUAGCUGAGAGGUGGUGCAUGGCCGUCGUCAGUUCGUACUGUGAAGCAUCCUGUUAAGUCAGGCAACGAGCGAGACCCACGCCCACAGUUGCCAGCGUACUCUCUGGAGUGACGGGUACACUGUGGGGACCGCCGCUGCUAAAGCGGAGGAAGGAAUGGGCAACGGUAGGUCAGUAUGCCCCGAAUAUCCCGGGCUACACGCGGGCUACAAUGGUUGGUACAAUGGGUAUAUACCCCGAAAGGGGAUGGAAAUCUCCUAAAGCCAAUAUGUAGUUCGG
rnacentral:rRNA from 1 species